ensembl:snoRNA SNORD21 Small nucleolar RNA SNORD21
ACUGUGUGAUGAUAUCCCACUGACUGAACACUCUGUAGUUGGUCCUUGGCGUGUGUAUGAUUGAUCUUGGUGUUUCAAGACGGGACUGAUGGUGGC